GUCCAAACUGCAGACUGAAGACUCUCAGGCUGGAACAUGUAGAUUGGAUUCCAGCUGGAGGCCUUAGAGGAUAUGUUCAUCAAACUGGAGAAAUGUCAUCCAUGGUGACAGAGAACCUGCCCAGAGCAACAUCUGCAGGAACCUCCACAUCUGCAGGAACCUCCACAGGCGGCCUGGAGACAUCCUGGAUACCUCCGCCCUCUCACAGCUCUGCCACGCAUCAAACCUCGACUGUUGCUGCCUUGCCUCGCUC